rnacentral:tRNA from 1 species
CAGGGAGACAACAAAAUGUUAAAUAUUAAUUUUGUCACCUUAGGUCGAUCGGUAUCUCACAUUCUUAAUUUAUUAAAGAAUUUUAUUUCCUAAGUUUUUCUAGGUCACACCCAUUAUUUUUCCUGGGCCAUUAGCUCAGGUGGUUAGAGCGCACCCCUGAUAAGGGUGAGGUCCCUGGUUCAAGUCCAGGAUGGCCCAUAUCUCUAUGUUGGGGGUAUAGCUCAGUUGGUAGAGCGCCUGCUUUGCAAGCAGGAUGUCAGCGGUUCGAGUCCGCUUACCUCCACUGAUUACCACCUCUUCCAUAAUUUAUAGAAGGGAAAUUUUGAGUUGUGAUCUAAUUCUGGACGAAUCCAGCUUCCUAAUCAAACUUAUUAAGAUGCUGGACUCAUUGAAUUAAAUUCAUUGUUUUCAGAGAACCUUGACAACUGCAUAGAUUAUUUUAAAGACAAUAAGCAUCUUUAAUGAUGCAGAUUUAUUAUUUGUGCGAAUGCAUUAAUAACAAUUCUAUUAAGCUGAUGCUUCAAUUUUUGAAGUUAUU